CAAGCGUCUGGGGUAUAAGGAGUCACUGCCAUCAACCCCACUGAUGAGUCUAGGCAGUGACUUCGAGACGAAACGCAAA
rnacentral:hammerhead_ribozyme from 17 species